UGCUCUUUAAAAAUCUGGAUCAAGNCUGCUUUGCACGCAGGAGGUCUGCGGUUCGAUCCCGCAUAGCUCCACCA
rnacentral:tRNA from 1 species